rnacentral:rRNA from 1 species
ACGUAGGGUGCAAGCAUUAAUCGGAAUUAUUGGGCGUAAAGGGGGCGCAGGCGGAAUAGUAAGUCAGACGUGAAAGCCCAGGGCUCAACCCUGGAACUGCGUUUGAAACUACUUUUCUAGAGGAUAGGCGGAGAAAACGGAACUCCACAUGUAGCGGUGAAAUGCGUAGAUAUGUGGAAGAACACCCGUGGCGAAAGCGGUUUUCUAGCUUAUUCCUGACGCUCAGGCCCGAAAGCUAGGGGAGCAAACAGG